GGGCGCUGCCCCCCCGGCCCCAGCUCACGGCUGUGCCGGGCUGCCCGCCACCGGGCAAGGAGUGCGAAGCGCUGCGCGCCGCUUUGAAUCCUGGGCUCUCGGGAUGCUUGAAUGAUGUUUAAAAUGGACUGCAUGCCUCCAUCACUUCUCUCCUGAAGAAGGCACUGUUGGAGAAGUUCUUUGGUUCAAAAACAGAGCACUGAAAAAAAAAAUAACUAAAGAAGAGAGGAGAAAACAAACUGGUGAAUACAAUGGAAUGAAAUUUGGGAAGAAAUGUGGAGACUGGUGGAAACUAAAAGGACACUAAGGUUGGAAAUGCAGAUGUCACUGGAUCUGAGGAAUGGGUGUCAUACUAUUUCUGUGAGCGGAUACAGCCUAAAGAAAGAGGUGUAAGUUGUUAACUAUCCAUCAACAGUUGUCUCCAAAGCUUAUGGGAUACAUCAAAGUAGAGAAGAUUCAGAGUGGCCAAGGAGCCAAGUCCUCUAAUUGAUUCUGCAUAGUUAGGAAGACUGGCAAAGAGCUCCACUGGAUUCGUCGUGAGCACAAAGAUCCAGUUGUGGACUUGAAAAUACUUUGAGGAUCACGUCUCUCAGAGAAGAAGGCCUGAAAAGGAGCCCGUAGAGCCUAGAGAUUUUUCCAUGCAAUCUUAAACUGAGACUGUGUAAAGAAUUAAUCUGAAUUUAUGAUUCCGACAGGUGCCUUUAAGUUGUCACCUAAAGGAAGAAAGACCUACAUUUCGAGAAGUAUGUUAAGAUGGCUCUGCCUUUUCCAGACAGAGAUAGUGCUGAAAUAGCAACCAGUAUCAUCAGAUCCGCAGAGGACAUUGACCAGCUGCAGCAUGUAUUGAUGACAAGCAGCAUGCAUAGCCAUGUGCCUAAUGUCAUCAUGUCCUUCAAACCUCCGGUGUUCAUCAGAGACCAAUUCUGGCUGUGCAGUGCAUUCACACCCCUAUAUUCCUUCAUGUUUUUCCAAUACCUGUACCAUAGGUGAAUGAGUAAUAGGACUAUCUGCAGCUCUGCAGCAUGGAGGCAAAAGAGAAAAGCAGAAUAAGACUGGCCAUUACUGGAAUACAAAAUAUGUUCUGAGUUACAGAGAUCCCAUUGCCUACACUGACCCCCAUGUGCUCAUUUCUUUUUGAUAGGUACUUGGCCUUAAAGGUAAACUUAAACAUAAUCUAUUCCUCUGCUCAGAAUGAACCAAGUCAAAAAUAUCAUUUUGGCUAUAGUGCUUAACCUCAAGUGGAAAUUUGCUCUGUAUUGUUCUCCAUACAACAAUUAUUGGAGCAACUCCAGUCUUUAUCUGGAGGCUCCGCUGACAGGGUCUCCUUUGGUGAGAUUCCGUGGGGUACCAGAGCACGUCUGCACAGAAAGAACAAUGACAAAGCGUUAGUUCCUGAUACAGGCUGCUCUACUCCUUCCCUCAGUAUGUAUUGCCCUGAGUCAAGCAGUUUCAUUUCUGUAGGUUGUAGGAGCUGGAACUUGGUAUGUGACUGUCUAUGGACAAUCAGAAAAUCUGGUCUCCAGGGUACCUACCAGUGUCACUAUACCUUGAUAGUUUCAGCACAGCUGUGUAGUAAGACCUUAGAGGUGAAGAAAAGGUUGCUAAAUAUUUCACCUUAGGAUCUCAGAUUUAUUUCUGUUCAAUUUUUAACCUGAUUCUGAAUAACUUUUGUUCAAAAAAAUUCUUCUUAGUCACUUAAAAAUGAAAGAAAAAAUAUUUAAAAUCUGAUAAUUCACCUGAGUCAACAAGUGUAUAUUUGUAAAUAUAUAUCCCUAGUACCAAAAAUGUAAUGAUGGAAUGCUGCACUUGCAGAGAAGUGAUGUUAUGGUGCAUAAGGGUCAAUUGCAUUGGCACAAGAAAAUAUUAUUUAGUUGUUAAGAUUAUUUGUUUCAAUGAGCAAACUAUGACCAGCUUUGCAGCAUACAGCACAAAGAAGGAUUUAACUUUUACCUGUAUUACUGAUCAUGACUAACAAGGGUCUUCAGUAACUUUUGUAAUGUUAGGGUUAGGUUUCAUGCAUUAUGAAAGCAAAACACAAUACAGCUUCAGGAAGCUGCUCCAAAACUUCUAAAGAAAAGCCACUUCCUAUUUCAGUUUAGUUCCACAAGUAUUGAAUUAUUUGAAUUGUACAACUGAAAAAGGAUUUUUGCCUUUAGAAGAACUGUAAGUGGGACAAUCUGCAUAUACGGAUUCAAGCUAGUCUGUGAUGUGGGCAGAUAACAUCUCUUGAGAUUUAAUCCAGCCUAUGUGCCACCCAUUUUUUUAAAUAUUGUUUUUCCCUUUCCAACCACAUUAUUUUCAUAUUGCAGUUACAUGUCACCGUAAAGACUCACUUUUAAUAUUUCUAAAAAUAAGAAAAAAAAUAUAAUUUUUUUUCUUCAUAUUUUCCAGACCUACUAUGAAGCCAAAUCUUUGCUAAGGACACAAAUCAGUGGACUUACACUGGCUACUUUGCGUGUACUAGAGUAGUAAUGUAUUUUGGAAAUUUUUAAGUGUUUGCCCCAUGCUAUCUGAAUACCUCACUGGUUUUGAAGUAUAUUUUUACAAGAGCUUUGUGAAACAGAACAAGACUAUUAUUCCUGUAUUGAGAGUCAUGGAAUGAAUCACAUUUGUGAGUCACAAUGCUUUGUGAAAAUAAAGAUACACAGUCUUUCUUUAAAGUAGUAUACGUAUAAGCUUUAUACUUUGCAGUUAAUCAGCUAUAGGAAUACUAAUUUACUGAAAGCUUCAUUUCAUACCGGUGCACUGUAUUUGUGGCUGAGGCAGUUCCUCAUACAUAUGGACCACACUGGUCUGUGAUAGAGCAGGAAAUUGAAUUCCGGUGUUACCAAUAUCUAGCUAUCUCAAUAUCCACUUGCCCCCCACCUGCGUCCUUCCAAGAAAGAACAAAUACGCUCCCCUCUGGGGUGGAGACCAUGGGUGCAUGUGUGCUGGUGUGAACCUCCAUCUGCCUCUUACGGUUCGGACUUGAGCACACAGCAUUGCUGAGUGGCUUUAUAAAUAUCCAGUUAAAAUCCAGUUACAAGUUCUUAAUAAAUGUGAUUUAUUUGAAGAAAUUUGAUGUAAUCAUAGGUUUAGGUAACUUUAUAUCUUCUUUCUUUAAGACACUGAGAUGUGAAAGUCCUUACAGAGGUAGCAAAGAGCAGUCGUUGUCUAAAGCUUGACUCAUUACAAUCCUAGGUGGUCCUGUUUGCCUGGUAUGUGUUAAUUGCAGCAAUGACAGUUGGAGUCAAGGGAUCAUGGAACAGCUGGUUUCUAUUACUUUGACCUAAUCUCAGGUGAUGUGGUCUAGGAAAUAGUUAAUUAUAUUUAUCAGCACUCUGGUGACUCACAUCUUUAGUAUUAGGCUGAUUGAUCUUUAUGCUUUGUAGACCCUUGCAGCUGUUCCUCAUCAUAAGCUUCCUUCUCUGUAUUCACCACAACAGUCAAAUACAUUCAGUUAAGUUUCAUAAAUUACGUGAGUCUUCAAUGAGCAAGCAACGCAGUAUCUCAAAGUAAGCAAAUACAAAUUGAACUGGUACAAAGCCGUACUGGAAACUCUGUAGGGACUGUGGAGGGAAAGAGGAGCAAAUUAUCAGAAAACAUUUUUUCCCAUUUCAACCAAUCCCCCCCACCCCGGAGUUUCAGUUAAAUUUUCAAAUGUGUUACCUUUUUAGACAUUGUGCAAUAGACAAAACAUGCAAACCAUGAAUUGAAAAUAUCAGCUAUUAAUAUAAUUAAAGAUUUGAAGUACAUUUAAAAUACAGCACUUCAUUAAACUAAGUCAGUAGUUGGUAGAUUACAUAUGUGCUUGCUGAUGAAACAUCAUCUGUUUUUCCAAAAGCCAAAACAAUUCUGUGUGGAAUGCCAAAUAUUAUAUUCAUUACAAAUAUUUAUGUUAAUUCAAGAGGAUGUGAACACUGUAUAGAAGUCAGGAAAUUGAAAUUUAUUCUUUUCACAGCAACUGUCACUUAAGUGCAUUAUAGCCACAGUGGCAUAUACUCACAGCAUUGUUCUAAUAAAAUUUUACAUCUCUGCAAAGGGGCUUAAUGCCAGCAGCUGUGAGAACCAGUAUUUUGGAUUUUCCGAGUCUGGCAUAUUUAAAUUUUCAUCUAUAACACUAGAUUAAAUUAAAUCUUUAUGUUGAAUAUAUGGUAAGAAGCAGGAUUAAGUUCUGAAUUCCCUAGUUAACACUCACAAAGUGCUUCUUGAAUAAGGAUCGCUUGGAUUAUUUAUCUUGUAUACCAUUCAUGAAGAUAGAUGUUCAACAUUUCCACCAGCACUCUUUGUCAAAAGUUUAUACUGCCUGGGAUAAAGUUCAGCUGUUGUAACUGAAGUGUUUCGUGGCAAAGGUCUGAGCCUGCUCCCCUUAUUCCUUUGGAGAAUAUAAUAACACAAGAGGGAUAGGAAUUGCAUGAUCUUCAUGAACAUUAUCCCACAGAUUGCUAUUUGCAGAAGAAAGACAGGGGUUUAUGAACAUUUUGAAAAUGUAUUUUAUAAGUCUUAGCUGGGUCUAUAGUAUUUUUUCUUUCUGCCUUCUGUCACUCCUUUUUGAAGUCUUGAUUCAUUUUACUGAAACUUUGAAAGCUCUACAUAAAUAUUUGACAGGGAUUUCAAAAAUAUUUCUUAAAUAUAUUUUAAACUUUAAAUAAACAAUUUUUCUUGCAUAUACAUGCAUAUUUUGUUCUUUUUUCCACUGUACUACAUAUUUUAAUGACUAAAAUGUUCACAGAAAAUCAAUAAAAUUGAACAAUCCCAGUUA